GAUGAACGCUGGCGGCGUGCUUAACACAUGCAAGUCGAACGGAGAUUAUAUGUGAGCGUGAAUAGCUUGCUAUGAGCAAUCUUUUAUAAUCUUAGUGGCGGACGGGUGAGUAACGCGUGGAUAACCUGCCUUGUACCGGGGGAUAACACUUAGAAAUAGGUGCUAAUACCGCAUAAGCGCACAGGACCGCAUGGUCUGGUGUGAAAAACUCCGGUGGUACAAGAUGGAUCCGCGUCUGAUUAGCUAGUUGGCGGGGUAAUGGCCCACCAAGGCAACGAUCAGUAGCCGGCUUGAGAGAGUGAACGGCCACAUUGGGACUGAGACACGGCCCAAACUCCUACGGGAGCAG
rnacentral:rRNA from 1 species